rnacentral:lncRNA from 1 species
AGGACUCAGACACAGAGUUCUUCAUCUCCACAAAAGAUGGAUGAGAAGGGUGUGCAUUCCCCUCUGAAUGCUCAAAAAUUCACCGUACCGGAUAUUGGUGCAGCUAGUCCGGCUCAAACGGUAACCGGUAAAGACAAAUCAAAUCCGUGAAGGGCUGUCACUUUGCCAAAAAGUGAAGAUGAAACAGGACCUUCAUCAAAACCACAUAAGACUAGUAACUCGAAAAAGACAUUAACAGCAAAAAAAAUGAAUAAAUAAAUUGAGAUUAUUGUAAAACAGACAUUAGAAAAAUUCUUUAGUAGCCAAGAACAAGAUAAGCAUAUAGAUAAUAAAGACAAGUCAUGUACAAGCACAGAUAGAGUAGUUCCAGACAUGAAUAAUACAAACAUUAAUAUUCCAAGAUCAUCAGACGAAGAAGAUGAUAGAUUUGAAGAUAGUCUUCUCCAAGAUGCUCAGGAUCCCUAUGAAGAUGAUUGUUGACACCUAAUUUUUGCCCUCCACGACUAAAUUUAAUCCUGAGUUUCUUCAUUUUUUAAUAAACCAAAAUAAUUAUUUUAUCUAAAUAAAAAAAGCUGAAAAUAUUUUUCGUACGUGAUUUUGUUAUUUUAAGUAGUGAUUAUAUACUAUCGUGUUCAGUUAUACGAGAUUAUAUAAUUUGUUACUUAAAUAUUUAUUUUACAAAAUAUUAGAUUUAAUUAAGGCUUAUCUUGAAAAUAAAUUCAAAUAAUUAAAAUCUUAAUUUAAAUAUAAUUUAUUCUCAAAAAUAAUUUAUUUGAAUAAAUAUGCAUUCAUUUUAUUAAAUCAAAAAGCUCGGGAUUAAACAAAAAGGUAUUAAUUCUUAUCGAAUUUUAAUUUAAUUUAGCCAAUCUAUUAGAUUUGACCAUAAUUGAAAAUUGGUCAUAAUUGCAAUGCAAUUCGUCAAUUAAUUUUUAAUUUGGUAAAAAUAAAAAAAUAUGGCUAAAUUUUAAAUUUCAAUUGGGGUUAUAUUUUAAAUAACCCCAAAAUUCUCAAGAACUCUCAUAACUUUUACCCAAUUCCCACCAAAAAAUAAAUUCAAAUUGUACUAUUCCUCCCAACUUUGUCCUUUUCCAAUUUUAAAAUUCAAAGAUUGUACUACAUUGUACUAUUUCCCCUCCACAUUAUCUUCCACCUCACUUUAUCUUUAAUUUUUACAUUCCAAAAAUCUCCCAAAAUAUUUUUUCUCCCACAUUGGUAGAUGACAAGAAAUAAAUCUCUAUCCUUUCCUAUAAAUACUUUUCUCCCACAUUGGUGGAAAAGGAAAAAAAAAUACCCCAUUCUCUCCUAUAAAUACUACCACUACUUUGGUAGAGAGAGAGGGGAGAAGGAAGAAAAAAAAAGGCUAGAAAGAGGAAAAAAUCCUUUUGAGCAAAAAAAUAGUUAUUUUUAUUUAGUAAAAAUUUUUUGUUUCAUAAAGUUGAUCGGCUAAUCAAAAUUUUUGAGUUGCCGACGACGUUUUUUGGUGGUGGUUGAUUCCAACGAAACUCGUAGUCUCGUUUUGUUGCCCCCCCAAAAGGUAAACACACCUUCUUUUUUUCUUUUCUUUUUUUAUUUUUUUUAUUUUUUUUAUUUUAGUUUUUAUUAUCGUUUUUCUCUUCAUCUUUUUUCUUCUUCGUAGUUCAUAGAUAUAAUUUUAUUUGUUGGGAUUGUAUGUUAUAGAUGGCCUUGAAGGCCCUAGGACGUUGUGGUAUCGAUAUUCUAAUUAUUUUCAUGUUCAUGAUAUAAAAAUGAGCUAGCAAUAGUUGUAUGUGCCUUUUUUUGAUUUUAUUCUUUGUUAUUUUAGAUAAAGUUUCAAUCUUUGCUUAAAAGAUGUAUUUAUGCUUUUUUUUAAACUCAUUGUUGUUGGAUACAUUUAUUUUUAGUAUGUAAAGUUAUUUUCUUUAUGUUUAGAAGAAUAGUUAAUGUUGAAUGUUUUGCCUUUUCACCUUAUUCUUUGAUUAUUUUUGAUAAAGUUUAGAUCGUUACUUGAAAAGACAUACGCAUGUCUUGUUUAAACUCAUUGUUGGUAGAUAUAUUUGUUUUUAGCAUGUAAAGUUGUUUCCUUUAUGUUGAAAAGAAUAGAUAAUAUUGAUGGUUUCUCUUUUUUUUUUACUUUAUUAUUUGAUUAUUUUGGAUAAAGUUUAGAUCUUUACUUGAAAAAUAAUAACCAUGUCUUGUUUAAACUUAUUAUUGGUAGAUAUGUUUUUUUUAGCAUGUAAAGUUGUUUAUUUUAUGUUGGAAGAAUAGUUAUUAUUAUUUGUUGCGCCUUGAUAAAAAUAGUAAUUAGUUAAGUCAAGAAUUUGUCAUUUGCUUACUAAUUAUUUUAAUGGGUUUCAAAACCCUCAUAUAAGAUAUGAAGUGCUAGCUUUAUUUUUCAUUCAAGAUGUUUAUUCCUUUUUGUUCGCAUAUUGUCUUUUCAAAAUGAUAAGAAAGUUCGAACUUUCGCAGCUAAAUAAAAUUAUUUGGAUAUUUUUGACUCAUGCAUAGUAUGAUUGUGACACGAUAUUUCACUUUUAGAAAUGCUAAACUUUUAUUCUUAUUUUCUUACUCCGGAUUGUUAUAUGUGCUCUUUGUGUGUGUAAAGACUUGAUUCAUGUCACUCUUUUAUUCAUAAUGUCAAAUGAGAAUCAACGAUGUCUUAGAAAUAUAAACCUAGUGUUAGUUACCAGAUGAAAGUUCUGAGGUGCAGUUAAAGAAGUAAGUUGUUAGGAACAUAAGUUAAGAUGAAGAGAUGAACUGGGUAAGAUAAAAAAAAAAUUGAAAAAAUUAUAGAAAAUAAGAAUGAUAAACGUAAAGAAACAAUAGGAAAGAAGGAGCACUGAGUAGGAUUUUUACAAAAAUCUUGAAUUAUCGCCUAUUUUAUUGCUCCUAUUUUAUUGUUAUUGUAAAUCUUGAAUUAUCGCCUAUUUUAAUGUUAUUUUAUCGCCUAUUUUAAUACAAUUCUAUCUUUGAGGUGGAUAGUUAAACUUCACAUUAAUUAUGUAUAUAAUUGAAUUUUUCUAUACUUAAAAAUUGCGCUUAACUUUUUCAUAAUAGACAAUUAAUAUAUAUUUUUAAAUAAUAUUAAAUCAACAUUCAUUAUAUUUAUGAUAGUUAUUUUUUAUUGGAUAAAUAACUAGCCAUCAAAUUUUAAUAAUUUGUAUUAUUCAAAUUUAAAGAAAAAUAUCAAACUUUAAUAAUUUGUAUUAUUCAAAUCCAAAAAAAUUUCGUCGCUGAUAUUUAUAUGAGAUAAAAGAUUAAUUAAAAUUAAGUUAAAAAUAUUGAAAAAUACGCAUGGCAUUUCUAUAAAUAUGCAAAUAAAUUAACUGAAUAUGAUAAUUUCAAAUGAUGGCUUAGACUCUUUCUAUUAUAUUUUUUUUGGUAAUGUUCUGAGACCUUAUUUGAUUUAACUUUUUAUAUAAUAAUUUAUUUAACCUGAGAACAAAAUAAAGAUUUAAAAAUAAAUUUAUUUCUAAUGUCAUUAUCCUUGUUAUAUAUAAUUUAAAUUUUCUUAAAAAUAUUUUAGAGAAAAUAUUCCUUUUUAAAUCCCUAGAUAAAAAUAAAAUUUUACAUUCCCAAAAAAGACUCCAAUUAAAAUUAUAAUAAUAAAAUUUUUAAGUAUGCAUACUUCCAAGUAAAAUCCAAAAGAAAUCUCCAACUAAAUUAGCAAUCAUAAAUAUUAGCAAAAUUACGUAAAAUAUUAUAUAAUGUAAAAAAUAAUAAUAUAAAAAUAAAUUAUAUAUUUUCAGAUCAUGAAUGUGACACGUUAAUAUUUAUUUGAUAUCAAAAUAAUGCGUAGAAAAUAUCAACAUUUAAAAUUAAUAAUUUUGCUAAAAUAACAAUCUAAGAGGGGUACUGAGAGGUCAAAAUUGGGUGUCAACACAACUAACCCGAUUUAUUCCCAUAAAUUGGAGUCCGUGGAUGGGUACAGUUUACGCAGAUCAUAUUGCUAAGGUAGACAGGUUGUUUUCAAUAGAUCCUCGGUUCAAGAAAAAUAGUUUGAAACUGUCCAUUUUCAAGAAAAAUAUUAAUGAAAAUUGAUUUAAUAUUAAUCGUUGAUCAAAUAUGAUAAACAAUUGAGAUUAGAAGUGAGGAGAUGAGUCAAAUUGAGAUUAGAUAUUGGGUUAAAAAAUUGAAUUGAGGAUUUCGAUUAAGUCAAAUUAAACUCAAUUGACACAAAUUGAGUAUAAAAUGACUAAAAUUUAAAUAAAUUAGGAAAAUUGAAUUGAAUUAAGUUGAUAUUUAAUAAAUAUAGUAACUAUAUAAAAUUGAUAUUAAAAAUAAAUGUAAUAAAAAUAAAUAAAUGUUGAUCGACAGCUGAGAUCUAAAGAUUAAGAAUUUGAUUUAAAAAAAUUGAAUGAAAUUUGAAAUUGAGUUCAAUUGGACACAAUUUGGGCUAGGAUUGUAAUAAAUUGAAUAAAAUUAGACUAAAAUUAUUACAAAUUGGCUGUCACACCCCUUUUUUAUAAAAAAGAAUUGAUUUUAAAGUUUCGAAAGAGUUUUUAUUAUCAAAGUGACAAAAGGUUUAAAAUUUAUUUUGAAAAGGAACUAUUUACAUUUUUUAUUCAAAAUCUCCACUUGACAUUAAUUCGAUGUGUCAAAUCACCAUUGAAAAAUCCUUUUAAAAAAUCAUUUGACUCUUUAAACUGAUUUGCGAACAGGAAUUCCGACUAAGGAAUUCUGUUAACCGAGGGGAAGAUGUUAGGCACCCUCGAUCCCGUGGUUUGACCACAAUCGCUUGGUAGAGCGUAUCGGCUAUCUCGACACUACGGAUAUAUAAACCACACAUAAGCACAUAAAACAAGCAACCAAACAAACAAAGCGAAUCCAAAAUAUAGUAUCCAGUCCAAUUUAUACAGUCCAAAAUAAAUAAUAACUAAUAAAAAAAUGUGAAAAUAAGUCCUAACGAACCUACACUAAUCCUAACUACGCUCCCGCGCUUUACCCGAUGCCUCGAACCUUCAUCAUGAACGUCUCCCGCCAACAUAGUACAUUGGGGCAUUCCCCGGAGAAUAAAUACAAUGUGUCUCGAGACAUUCCCCGACUAAAUGAAUACAUUUAAAUUGAAUGCGAUAGACUAGAGAAAAAUAUUCACACGUCAUUCCACCAUUCAACCACAAACAAAAAAAAACUUAGUCCUAAAUUUGCCUACCCGAACUUACAUUAGCCUAUUCAAUUCAACGUAUCAUAAUAGUAUCACGUUUCAUAUCAACAAUCGAUCAAAAUUGAUUCGAAUCCAACCUUAUCGUCAAUUUUUAAUUCCACCCCAACUUCCCUUUUUAUCAAUCGCCAUUAAACAUGAUCAAAUUAAUUCCUCAAAUCACUAAGCAUCAUGAUCGCAACAUCAACAUCAAACAAUCAGAAUCACCUAACACACAAUCAUGGCUAUUUUAACGAAUUGAAAUAAAGAAGGAAGAAUGAGUUAAAGAAAUGGAGCUUAACGUCGCUUUUGAUGAAUAUUAUUUAACAAAAUAAAGAAAACUCGCCUAUGAUAACUUCGACUUGAGCCUCAACGAAUCUGUCCAAACUCGGGACUGAGUAUCGCAAAAAAUAGGGAGACCCGACCCGAUUAUGAUAAACCCACCCAACUUCGAGCUAGAGGUCGUGAGAAUAAAAGCAAUCUGAACCAGAUUCUAACGGGUACAGACGGGAUUGAGGACAAAUCCUAGUUCAGCGGACUGUUUUUAUGUCGUCGUGACUCCGAUCGACUUCAGCAAUAACCGAAGACUAUAAAAAAGUACCUGAUGUGAUGUAUUCCGAUGAUUCAGCUAGGUUUGCGAUGAUUUUGACGCGUUUCCGGUGAGUCUGUUGCCGGAAACAGUGGCCUCCCGCAAAAUCCGCAUCCCUCUACUCGUGAUUCUCCCCCUCUUCCGUGACUUUCUCUCUCGAUCUGAACUUUUCGGUGUGUGGUGUAUGCGAUUUAGUGCCUUGGAGCUAUGUGUGUGCGUGUAUAAUGGUGCAUCAAAGGGAAGAAGAUGGAUUUUGUUUGUAGGUCAUCUUAUGGCAGUGGAGUGGUCAAUUCUGUGAGUAUGAGUGUUGUAUUCUUGAGGAAUUUGUGUGUAAUCCAGUGUGACCAGUGUGUGCGUGAGUAUAAGAAGGAAAAUAAUGGAGUUCCCUUUUUCUCUCCCAUGACCAUGAAAAUACCCCCUUUAUGAAUGAAGAGGAAGACCUCUUUAUCCAAGAAAAAGCCAAAAUAUUACGUGGGCCCCACUUUUUAUUAUUGUGG